GACGAACGCUGGCGGCGUGCUUAACACAUGCAAGUCGAACGGAAAGGCCCUGCUUUUGUGGGGUGCUCGAGUGGCGAACGGGUGAGUAACACGUGAGUAACCUGCCCUUGACUUUGGGAUAACUUCAGGAAACUGGGGCUAAUACCGGAUAGGAGCUCCUGCUGCAUGGUGGGGGUUGGAAAGUUUCGGCGGUUGGGGAUGGACUCGCGGCUUAUCAGCUUGUUGGUGGGGUAGUGGCUUACCAAGGCUUUGACGGGUAGCCGGCCUGAGAGGGUGACCGGCCACAUUGGGACUGAGAGACGGCAGACUCCUACGGGAGGCAGCAGUGGGGAAUAUUGCACAAUGGGCGGAAGCCUGAUGCAGCAACGCCGCGUGCGGGAUGACGGCCUUCGGGUUGUAAACCGCUUUCGCCUGUGACGAAGCGUGAGUGACGGUAAUGGGUAAAGAAGCACCGGCUAACUACGUG
rnacentral:rRNA from 1 species